CUACCCUUAGAUGUACAUGGGUUGGCCAACCAAAGUUGGGCUUGUGUGCAGUCUAAGUGAAUUCUAGUACCCACUAAAGAAUUAGGGUAAUUCCUCGAAUUGGAGAUAGAGGCUACCAAUUCGAAUAAAAUAGUGAGAGAAACCUUUUGAUUAAAGUCCAAAUCUUUAAGUUUAAUGAAUCAAUUACUAAUUAGGUUAUGGUUCUCC
rnacentral:lncRNA from 1 species